rnacentral:rRNA from 1 species
UACGUAGGGUGCGAGCGUUGUCCGGAAUUAUUGGGCGUAAAGAGCUUGUAGGUGGUUUGUCGCGUCUGCUGUGAAAAUCCGAGGCUCAACCUCGGACUUGCAGUGGGUACGGGCAGACUAGAGUGUGGUAGGGGAGACUGGAAUUCCUGGUGUAGCGGUGAAAUACGUAGAUAUCUGGAGGAACACCGGUGGCGAAGGCGGCGAUCUGGCCCAACACUGACACUCAGACCCGAAAGUGCGGGAAUCAAACAGG